rnacentral:rRNA from 1 species
UACGUAGGUGGCAAGCGUUAUCCGGAAUUAGUGGGCGUAAAGCGCGCGUAGGCGGUUUUUUAAGUCUGAUGUGAAAGCCCACGGCUCAACCGUGGAGGGUCAUUGGAAACUGGAAAACUUGAGUGCAGAAGAGGAAAGUGGAAUUCCAUGUGUAGCGGUGAAAUGCGCAGAGAUAUGGAGGAACACCAGUGGCGCAGGCGACUUUCUGGUCUGUAACUGACNGCUGAUGUGCGAAAGCGUGGGGAUCAAACAGGAUUAGAUAC